CGGAGUGAGAUGGAGGCGGGACUCCGUGACCGUGGGUUAUAAAGGGAGGUGCUUGCGACGGCCGCCGCAGUUGACAAGAUGGUGGUGACUGAUGUCGGGCGAAGCAACGCUCAUGUGAAUGCGCCAAGAAACACGGGUCGGGACUGUAAACUGGCAAAUUCAGCAGAUUUAUCCUCUGACUUGAUGAAAGAAAAAUCCAGCUUUGGCAUUGAAAUGAAGCAGAAAGCAGAUGGAUGCAGUACAAAGAAGGCUGAGAAAAUUGCUGUUGGUGUGGAUGAAUUAAGACUUUCUUCUCCUGAUAAGACCCAAAAGAAUAAGAAAGCAUCGCAGUCCCGAACUCCUGGUUUGCGAAAAUCCCAGAUUUCCAAGUCGGGAUCGAUAUCGUCUUCAGGAAGCUCUCAAUCGUCUUCUCCCAGCUCUAGAUCCAGUUCGGUUUCAUCCUCUGCCAGCUCUCAAUCGGGUUCAGUGUUAUCUUCCAGCAGUUCUCGAUCCAGUUCAAUGUCGUCUACGAGCAGCUCUCAAUCUGGUUCACUGUCAUCUUCCAGUAGCUCUCGAUUAGGUUCAAUAUCAUCUUCUGGCAGUUCCAGAUCCAGUUCGCUGUCCUCUUCAGGCAGUUCCCGAUUGGGUUCAGUAAAAAAGCACAGGUCAAGUACAAAAUAUACCACGUUGGUUUCAAGGACCAAAUACAUAUCACGAGAGAAGUACAGAAGAUCAAGGCGUGCCAAUUCAAGGUCCCGGUCUCGAAGCUGGUCAAGAUCUUGUUACCGAAGAUCGAGGCAUCAAAUGUCUUGCCGGUCUCCAAUAAGGUCCAGAUCAAGGUCCAGUUUGAGAUAUAGAAGAUCUCGCUCAGGAUCAAGGUCAAGAUGUUCAUCUGGAUUACAGAGGACUUGCCAUAAUGUUAUCAGCAAAACCCAAUCAUCACACACAAGAAGCCGAAGCAGAUCAAGGGGCAGGUCUAUCCAUUUAACACAAAAAGAUAAAAAGACGUUGCUAGAAAUAGCAAAGGCAAAUGCUGAUAAGUUAUUUGGAAAGGACAUCAUCCGUUUGCCACCUAACCUGAGGCUUACCAAUCCAUUCAAAGAUGAGAAUUUUGAUUUUGAAAAGUAUAACAGUGAAGUAGCAAAAGAGGUGACCAGAAGGACUGGUGUACCAGCGGUGGGGUAGAAUAAAUUUUAAGCCUUGAAAUGGACUGCACUUCUUGGAAGAUAUGAGGUGGUAUCUUUGUAUCUGCAUGUGUGCAGUGAUUAGGGGCAAAUUGACCAAUUAUAGUAACAUUUAAAAAAAAAGCUUUCAAAAGGCGUGAUAUAAAUGAAUUAUGGCAAUGUCUAUCACUAAAUAAACAUUCUUUAAAUGGAGGUAACUUUUUUAACCGCUGUUAAAACAUAAUUACCAUUUGGCAUCUGCGCUUGAGGGAUGAAGCAUUAUCUAUUUUGUAUUUUUGAUCAGGGAGCAUGUGACCUCUAUCAAGCCAUCUACUUAGAACUAUGGGGAGAAUGGAGAAGCAUGGUGUAAUUCUUCCCUCUCAAAAGUCAAGGCAGUGCUAUAUUUGGUACUUCAUUAUACUGCAUUGUCUUCUAAUUCGACUUGUCAUGAUGCAUUUUAAUUCCAGUGCACUGAAUGAUAUUUAGUUUCCUCGGAUAUUGAUGGGAAAAUAGAUGGCAUGUGAACCAUUUAUCCAUGUCCAUUUUAUGUUAGACUAAGUUCUGGCAGUCCACAGGAUAUUGGAUGGAAAUGUGGCUGCUUUAGUAACACCAAAUGUAUAGUGAAACUGUAGCCCAUCCAGCCCAACAAAAAAUAAUAUUGCACACUAGCCUUUUUCCAUUCAUAUCUUGUUAGUGCAUUUUCUCCUUUUCUCAUGUUCCUUUUAACGCUAUAUAACUUAGCUACUUUUUAGGGUGCUAAAUUUCAAUCCUUAACCACUGAACAAUGAUAUUUUCCCUCUGUAGCUAAUUUGUUAGUGCUAGCUGCCAGUAUUUGUUCUAAUUUAGAUAUCUCCCACACAAACAAUUUCUGCACCUCUAUCCAAUUUAUCCAUAAUUUUAAGUUCUAAGCAUCUCUAUACUCAAAUCUUCAAUCUGCAUAAUUUUUUUCAGAAGCUAUAAUAUGUCCUAGUAUUGUCUUUGUAAACCAUUUUUGCCCCACUUCAAUGGUGAAUCAAUAUCCUUUUUUCUAGGAUGGAGACCAAUUCUAUGCAUUAGGAAUGAGCUGGGGUCUUGUAUACAUUCAAUUCUGUUUCUCUGGGAACAAAUUAUGUUGUUAGCAUUUUUGAUCCUUAGAUUACCUCAUUUAAUUUCAUGUUGCUAUAUUCUGAGAUUCUUUGCAUCAGCACCCCUUUGUUUCUUAUUUUCUAAGAUAUUUUAAUACUGAUUUACUGUAAACUGAAUUAGCUUUUAUUGCUUAUCAAUAGGUGUUAUUCAAUAUUGAUCCUUGUAAAACACUGUUUUCUAACAUCUUAAUAACUGCAUUAUACCUACUAAUAUACCUUCCAUUGUUGUCCCUCUUAGUUUGCAUUUUUGAGACGACCAUAGCAACCAUACUUUGAUUAUUUUUGUGGAUGGGAAAGAGUCCAUUUGUGAUUUUUAAUUACUUUUAAUGGAACCUGAGUAGACUACCUUAAACAUGUAUUGAUAAAUACUCGUCUAAUGAGAAGAUUUUUACAGCGAUUGCAGCAGUAUUUGGGCAGUGUGUGGGAAAGGUAGCUUUUAAUCACAGUAAAUAGUUAUAAACUUUUUUAGGUGACCUAUGUUAAUGAAAUGGUUUAACCAGAUGAUCAUUUGAUAACUAGGUAAUUAUUAACAUAGAUAAAAUCAAACCAUUUUAUAUAGGCUUGAAUCAACCUUUGAACUAUUUCCAUUUACUUUAUUACUACUAGCAAGCAGUGAUUUAAUUUUGAAAUAUCAAGGUACAACUGCACAAAGACGUGCUUGCUGAGAGAACAGCAGCACGAAGCUACCGUUUCUUCCAUGUGGGUGUCAAGCCAUGAAUAAAUUAAACUUUGGCAACUUUUUUGAACUUGAUGCAACCCCUCCUUUUAAAAACCACUGGUCAAAGAAACCUAUGGUGUUUCAGAAAUUAUUUUUCCCUGUAGCAUUUAAAGUAUGUGCUUAAAUUGCUGGCUUGAUGGUGAGUUUGAACAGAACUCGGCAGCCAAUCUUUAAUUGGAAUGUUUGUUUCAGUCUCGCCUUUGUUUAGAGCAGGUGUCUCCCACAAUGGACAUUGGAUUGACUACCUCUCAGUUGUUACGUAAUGGUAGUGUGAGUAGUAGGAUAUUAUGUAGUUGAGGUACGAUGCAUUAUUGGAUGCAGUAUGGAGGGAGCUUCACUUUGCAUGUCAAUGGUGCACUUGACCUUGGAGUGCUAGAUCUGAUAUUGUGAGAGAAAGCUCACUUCUUACUCUAAGCAGAGGGAAAACAAAACUAUCAUUCCAUGCUUUGUACUAUCAUUCCAUGGCAUAGGAUAUCUUUUGCAGUCUGGUCUGGAACACAGUUAAACCAUUAAACAUUUCAAGUGACAAUGCCUAAAAUCUGCAUAACUCUGAUCAGUUCCUGAACUUAGCUAUACGGCUUUUUACCCAUUAAUAAAUAUCACCUAAUUCCUUUAAGUGCUCUAAGGCAUAUGAGGCUGAGGUUUGGCUGACUGCUGCUGUUGGAUAUGGUAUUGUCCAUGCAUAAACUUUGUUCUAGGAUUUUCUUGUCCUCAUAAUUUAUUCACUGUGUUCCAGGAGGUUUUGAAUAUCAGAUCUUUGCCGAAGAAGAGGCCAACGUAUUUGGAGAUAAGUUCAUUGGGUUUUAUAGCCUAGAAUAUACCUUAUCCACAUGGCUACACGCAGUUGUACACUUCUAGUAUCUCUUGCCACAUGCUCAGAAGCAUUUUUUGUUUGAAUUGGAAAUAUCUUUGAACCAGCUAAAUGUUCAUGGAAUUCUCAUUGAUGUAAAUUGUUGUACAUUUUGUGAAGUAAUUUGUACCCAUUAAUCACUGGAACCAUGGCACUUCAAAUUACAAUCGUUCCUUGGCUGAACAUGUUAAAAUGAGUUUGAUGUUUUCUGAAUUGUUGGCCAUAUUGGUGCACAUUUGCAUAACUAGUGAAGGUACCAAGCCACAAAAAACAUUAGCAACUUCUCUGCAGAUUCUACCACAACAGGUAGAAAAAAAGUGUAUCCAUUUAAAAACAGCUGAUAUAAUGGUUGUCCUGCCAGUGUUGCACAUUUUCAGAAUUGUCUGAAUGUAGAUCACAAUUUUCAUUGGUCUGGCCAUUUUUUUCUUUCUGAAGGAGAAACACACAAAUGAAGUUGAAGAAGAUGAACCACUUCAGAAGUUACAAAAUGCCCCUUCAAGAAUGGAAACAAAUCAUUGGAUAGCUUUCAGUGUGAAAAAUGCAGUAGCAAAACCUUUGUAUCACAAGUCGUCAAGUGGCGCGAUUAAAGGAUCUCCUGAGAAUAAGCGGAAAGGAGGCCCAUAUGGACAAUGGGUGCUGGUACAAAGUGGUCGCAAGAAUGGUGAUAAAACACAAGCACGGUGAAGGCUUAGAAGGAUAUACAAAACAAUUUUAAAUGUAUUUGUAAUAAAUUACUUUAAGCCAGCACUAUAUUGCUUGGCAGAAAUUUAUGAGAAGUCUCGGCUGGCUUUGUUAAAUGUUUAUCAUAAAUUGGAGACUUUGGAGGAAUUUAUAGUUUUGUACAAUUAUUAAGGAUUUAUUUGGACUAACACAUGUUAACAGAGAUGUUGAGCAAUGCUUAGGCUGUGAUAGAUUUAUGCCCAAUGUCAGUCUUCUAAAAAAACCAUGCUGUUUUGCAGGUAGAUGUAAUUGACCAAAAUUUUGGAUUAGGCUUUGUUUAUGCGAAGAAAUAUUGUAAUUGUGUUGUUUUUUCAGAAUUCAAUAAAGAUUUGUAAAUAUGA